rnacentral:rRNA from 1 species
UCGAGGGGUAUGGUUCUUCGGAACCAGAGACCGGCGCACGGGUGCGUAACGCGUAUGCAACCUACCUUCCACAGGGGGAUAGCCCAGAGAAAUUUGGAUUAAUACCCCAUGGCAUUACCGGAUGGCAUCAUCUGGUAAUUAAAGUCACAACGGUGGAAGAUGGGCAUGCGUCCUAUUAGCUAGUUGGUGUGGUAACGGCACACCAAGGCGACGAUAGGUAGGGGUCCUGAGAGGGAGAUCCCCCACACUGGUACUGAGACACGGACCAGACUCCUACGGGAGGCAGCAGUGAGGAAUAUUGGUCAAUGGACGCAAGUCUGAACCAGCCAUGCCGCGUGCAGGAUGAAGCAUCUAUGGUGUGUAAACUGCUUUUAUACGGGAAGAAACCCCGCCUCGUGAGGCGGACUGACGGUACCGUAAGAAUAAGGACCGGCUAACUCCGUGCCAGCAGCCGCGGUAAUACGGAGGGUCCAAGCGUUAUCCGGAAUCAUUGGGUUUAAAGGGUCCGUAGGCGGCCCGGUAAGUCAGUGGUGAAAUCUCCCCGCUCAACGGGGAAACGGCCAUUGAUACUGCCGGGCUUGAAUUACCAGGAAGUAACUAGAAUAUGUAGUGUAGCGGUGAAAUGCUUAGAUAUUACAUGGAAUACCAAUUGCGAAGGCAGGUUACUACUGGUUGAUUGACGCUGAUGG